CGAACUGUGUGUAGAUGGUAGGUUGAGUACGUAGGCACCAUAAAUGGUGAAUCGUCCAUACUACUGGCAUGGGAUUGUAGUAGUAUCUAUGAAGAUUUCCACUUCCAUAUCG
rfam:Glossina brevipalpis unplaced genomic scaffold Scaffold256, whole genome shotgun sequence.